rfam:Bacillus shackletonii strain LMG 18435 super11, whole genome shotgun sequence.
CUCUUAUAAAGAGUAGUGGAGGGACUGGCCCUAUGAAGCUCGGCAACCUUUCAUGUUUAACAUGAAUUGGUGCUAAAUCCUGCAAAACAUUAGUUUUGAAAGAUAAGAG